UGCAAUUUUCGACGCGAUGGUUGCCGGCGAUCGAGAAACCGCUGGCAUUAAAAGGGAACACGGUGAGGCGUACCCAGCAGGGACCGAGACCGUGGCUGCCCCCGCAACUGUGAGCGGAAAGCCGACCGCACAUGCCACUGCCCGGAUUUCGGGUGGGAAGGCGCGCAUCGGCGACGACCCGCGAGCCAGGAGACCUGCCAUCCAGGCGCAACACUU
rnacentral:ncRNA from 2 species